UCCCGUCAAAAUAGGCCACCUUUCCCCUUCCCUCUGUCACGGCAUCGGCGAUAACCCUCUCUCCCUUCCGUCGCCGUGGAUUUCAACGUUUGCCGCCACCACCGACGACGGAAACGACAAUGUCUCCCACUCCCCUUUGCAGGGAUGUCGAAGAGCACUGAAAUCGCCGACAAGGCAACCAUCUUGAUGCAGGAUCAUGCCAAGCAUAUCUUUCGUAUUUGCAAGGAGAAGUUACCCUUUGGUAAGGGGUUGACUACAAUUGAGGUUAAGGAACUUCGGGAAGCACUUGAAUUCGCUGCCAAAGGAUUGGACCAGGACUCCCUUUUUGCCAAGAGGAUUUGGAUGCUACUGUUAAGGAGGAAUAUUUGGAGCACGACGAGAUGGUGGCUUUAGAGAGGAUUGAAAGCCCACUACCUUCUCCUAGUUCAGACUGCUUCCUAUCCCUUGAAGAGCACAUUGAGAAGUUUGGGCGUCGAUUACAACUCAGACCAGAUGCCUAGCUACUCCGACUAGGUUGUAGUCCAUGAUAUUUGGGACAAUGUGAACGAGAUAUAUGGUGUAAUGGUUUGUGUCAAUGUGAACUGAAUGUAUGAUGUAAUGGUAUGUCUUUUUAGUCUAUGUAAACUGAACCUAAUGGUUUGUGAGACUUUCAGUCUGAUUAUGGUAUGCAAAUUUCAGUCAUGUCUGUCUGUGGCACUUUUA